ACAUGCAAGUCGAGCGGACAGAUGGGAGCUUGCUCCCUGAUGUUAGCGGCGGACGGGUGAGUAACACGUGGGUAACCUGCCUGUAAGACUGGGAUAACUCCGGGAAACCGGGGCUAAUACCGGAUGGUUGUUUGAACCGCAUGGUUCAAACAUAAAAGGUGGCUUCGGCUACCACUUACAGAUGGACCCGCGGCGCAUUAGCUAGUUGGUGAGGUAAUGGCUCACCAAGGCAACGAUGCGUAGCCGACCUGAGAGGGUGAUCGGCCACACUGGGACUGAGACACGGCCCAGACUCCUACGGGAGGCAGCAGUAGGGAAUCUUCCGCAAUGGACGAAAGUCUGACGGAGCAACGCCGCGUGAGUGAUGAAGGUUUUCGGAUCGUAAAGCUCUGUUGUUAGGGAAGAACAAGUACCGUUCGAAUAGGGCGGUACCUUGACGGUACCUAACCAGAAAGCCACGGCUAACUACGUGCCAGCAGCCGCGGUAAUACGUAGGUGGCAAGCGUUGUCCGGAAUUAUUGGGCGUAAAGGGCUCGCAGGCGGUUUCUUAAGUCUGAUGUGAAAGCCCCCGGCUCAACCGGGGAGGGUCAUUGGAAACUGGGGAACUUGAGUGCAGAAGAGGAGAGUGGAAUUCCACGUGUAGCGGUGAAAUGCGUAGAGAUGUGGAGGAACACCAGUGGCGAAGGCGACUCUCUGGUCUGUAACUGACGCUGAGGAGCGAAAGCGUGGGGAGCGAACAGGAUUAGAUACCCUGGUAGU
rnacentral:rRNA from 1 species